rnacentral:rRNA from 1 species
AGCGAACGCUGGCGGCAGGCCUAACACAUGCAAGUCGAACGAAGCCUUCGGGCUUAGUGGCGGACGGGUGAGUAACACGUGGGAACGUACCUUUAGGUUCGGAACAACUCAGGGAAACUUGAGCUAAUACCGGAUAAGCCCUUCGGGGGAAAGAUUUAUCGCCUUUAGAGCGGCCCGCGUUAGAUUAGCUAGUUGGUGAGGUAAAGGCUCACCAAGGCUACGAUCUAUAGCUGGUCUGAGAGGAUGAUCAGCCACACUGGGACUGAGACACGGCCCAGACUCCUACGGGAGGCAGCAGUGGGGAAUCUUGCGCAAUGGGCGAAAGCCUGACGCAGCCAUGCCGCGUGAAUGAUGAAGGUCUUAGGAUUGUAAAAUUCUUUUACCAGGGACGGUAAUGACGGUACCCGGAGAAGAAGCCCCGGCUAACUUCGUGCCAGCCGCCGCAGUAA